UUGGCUGCUGGCUCGGAUGAAGGCUUCCCGCACUUUAGGGGCGACCUGUUUGUUGGCCUGCCAUCUUGGCGGCUGCCACACAGCAGGAGCUGCUUCUCUUAAGGCGCUGGUCGGCGGCGUUCUUUCUUUCUUGGGUCUCCUAGCCGGGUCUCGCACGCACGCACGCACGCACGCACGCGCGACUUGGCCAGCAUGCCGAGUCGCACUGCGCAUGCGUGUGCGUCCGUCGGCGUCCUCCCAGCUCGGCUCGCCUUCUGUUCUGCAUGUGGCGUGCGGCGGAGGAGAGCGUUGCUGGGGGCUGGGGCUGCAGCCAGGCACAGGCAGGAGGUGGAAGACAGCACGGCACGGACGUCGGACAGGAGCUAAUCUCUCAGUUGUUGUGGGGCGGCUGCUGCUGCUGCUGCUGUUGGGGAAGGAGGGAGGGAGGCGAGAGGGGGGCCAGAUUUCCAAGUGAUCGCGUCAAUUCCCUGCCAAGUGCCUGCUUCUCCCUCCCGAGUCCCCUCCUCAGUAACGAGAAAAAGAAAGAUAUGAAGACAGGAAGAAAGUUUAGAAGAAGGAAAUGCAGAGAAAGCUUUUGCUGCCACCACUUUUAAUCCCCAAAGAACUGUGUGAGAAGAAAUUAUAACUGGACACAGGAUGGACUUUUAAAUAAAACUAAAAC